UACGAAGGGGGCUAGCGUUGCUCGGAAUCACUGGGCGUAAAGCGCACGUAGGCGGACUCUUAAGUCGGUGGUGAAAUCCUGGAGCUCAACUCCAGAACUGCCUUCGAUACUGAGAGUCUCGAGUCCGGGAGAGGUGAGUGGAACUGCGAGUGUAGAGGUGAAAUUCGUAGAUAUUCGCAAGAACACCAGUGGCGAAGGCGGCUCACUGGCUCGUAACUGACGCUCAGGCGCGACAGCGUGGGGAUCAAACAGG
rnacentral:rRNA from 1 species